GAUGAACGCUGGCGGCGUGCCUAAUACAUGCCAGUCGAGCGAACAGACGAGGAGCUUGCUCCUUCGACGUUAGCGGCGGACGGGUGAGUAACACGUAGGUAACCUACCUAUAAGACUGGGAUAACUUCGGGAAACCGGAGCUAAUACCGGAUAAUAUUUCGAACCGCAUGGUUCGAUAGUGAAAGAUGGCUUUGCUAUCACUUAUAGAUGGACCUGCGCCGUAUUAGCUAGUUGGUAAGGUAACGGCUUACCAAGGCAACGAUACGUAGCCGACCUGAGAGGGUGAUCGGCCACACUGGAACUGAGACACGGUCCAGACUCCUACGGGAGGCAGCUGUAGGGAAUCUUCCGCAAUGGGCGAAAGCCUGACGGAGCAACGCCGCGUGAGUGAUGAAGGUCUUCGGAUCGUAAAACUCUGUUAUUAGGGAAGAACAAACGUGUAAGUAACUGUGCACGUCUUGACGGUACCUAAUCAGAAAGCCACGGCUAACUACGUG
rnacentral:rRNA from 1 species